rnacentral:rRNA from 1 species
CACGGCGCACGGGUGCGUAACACGUGGGUAAUCUGCCCUCCGAUGGGGAAUAACCCCGCGAAAGCGGGGCUAAUACCGCAUAACAUUCCUUGGACUCCGGUUUGAGGACUCAAAGCCGCAAGGCGUCGGAGGUGGAGCCCGCGCACGAUUAGCUAGUUGGUAGGGUAACGGCCUACCAAGGCUAUGAUCGUUAGCUGGUCUGAGAGGAUGGCCAGCCACACUGGAACUGAGACACGGUCCAGACUCCUACGGGAGGCAGCAGUGGGGAAUCUUGCACAAUGGGGGAAACCCUGAUGCAGCGACGCCGCGUGAGCGAUGAAGCCCUUCGGGGUGUAAAGCUCUUUCGGCAGGGACGAUAAUGACGGUACCUGCAGAAGCAGCUGCGGCUAACUACGUGCCAGCAGCCGCGGUAAUACGUAGGCAGCGAGCGUUGUUCGGAGUUACUGGGCGUAAAGGGUGUGUAGGCGGUUGUUUAAGUUUGGUGUGAAAUCUCCCGGCUCAACUGGGAGGGUGCGCCGAAUACUGAAUGACUCGAGUGCGGGAGAGGAGAGUGGAAUUCCUGGUGUAGCGGUGAAAUGCGUAGAUAUCAGGAGGAACACCGGCGGUGUAGACGGCUCUCUGGACCGUAACUGACGCUGAGACACGAAAGCGUGGGUAGCAAACAGGAUUAGAUACCCUGGUAGUCCACGCCCUAAACGAUGCAUAUUUGGUGUGGGUCAUUCAGUUGAUUCGUGCCGGAGCUAACGCGUUAAAUAUGCCGCCUGGGGAGUACAGUCGCAAGGCUGAAACUCAAAGGAAUUGACGGGGGCCCGCACAAGCGGUGGAGCAUGUGGUUCAAUUCGA